ACGGAUGUAAGAAUAAAUGUGAGAGAAAAUACAUUUCCUCAGAGUUUAAACCAUUGGUAAUUUGGGUUCUUAUUAAGGUAGUAUAAGUACUUAUAUCUUAACUACUAUAGCAUUAAUAUCUUAAAAGCUUCCUAGAUUUCAUCUGUGAAUUACAUCCAAAGGACAUAGGCUACAGAGAAGACUGGCAUUCUGGUCUGUAGGUGGCCUUAUUUCCUUUUCAUUGCAAUUGGAUUUCAUGCAGAACCGUGGAAAUGCAUUACGGUUGUCUCCUCAUGAAGCCUGGGGAGUUAUUGGAGAUGCCUGAGCAUGGAUAUGACAAAUAUAAUCUUCAAACAACGAGAGGAACGAAAGCAGGGUUCAACUGAUAGGCAAGUUAGUGCCAGAAGGAGAUUCUGGUAUGUUCAAAGGAUUCCUCACGUACUUUGGAAUCUAAUAGCUUUUGUAUAUAAAGCCAAGUCAAAAUUAAAGAAAAGGUUAACUGUACUUACUCUGGUGGUCACUUAUUAUCAAG
rnacentral:lncRNA from 1 species